UACGUAGGGCGCAAGCGUUAUCCGGAAUUAUUGGCGUAAAGAGCUCGUAGGCGGUUUGUCGCGUCUGCCGUGAAAGUCCGGGGCUCAACUCCGGAUCUGCGGUGGGUACGGGCAGACUAGAGUGAUGUAGGGGAGACUGGAAUUCCUGGUGUAGCGGUGAAAUGCGCAGAUAUUAGGAGGAACACCGAUGGCGAAGGCAGGUCUCUGGGCAUUAACUGACGCUGAGGAGCGAAAGCAUGGGGAGCGAACAGG
rnacentral:rRNA from 1 species